CAGAUUAUAUAUGAAUAAAGUAGAGCAAGAAUGCAUGUCUUAUAUCAAAUGUCUUACGUUACGUAUUCCCCGGUUGCUAUGGAUUUCAUUUAUCUUUUAAAAUGGUUUUAGGGGAAUAGUAACUUGUGAUUAUCUAUCCCGAAUGAGAUUCAAAUUCUGAAAUUAUUUAGUAAUUAUCAUUACUAAAUGUGAGAUGAAAUUCUGAGAUUCAAAUUCUGGAGACAUGGUAUUGAUUCACGAAUAUCAUGUAGUGAUUUUAAAAAGGGGAUAGAUAAUAAAUGUGAUUCAAACUGAAAACUGGAAAUGGAUCAGAUAUCUCUAUUUGGAGCUGCGUAAGAGGUUCCGUUAUUCGGUAACGACCCAGCAUGAGGUUGCGUAAGAGGCUAAGUCGGGUGGUGCACAUUAUUAAACCCCUUAGUCCAGCGUGAUAAAGACUUAGCUAGUCUUUAGGUUCCGGAACAUUCAUUCGUGAUGGCCUCGUCGCCGUCCGGUGUUGAUAGGCUGAUCAGCUAUCUUCACCUGUUAGCGUCCAUUAUAUCUGAUAAUUCAUUUUGAGACUAAAUCCUGUUAUAGCAUGCUAGUGAUAAAUUUUGAAACUAAAACUUAU
rnacentral:lncRNA from 1 species